rnacentral:rRNA from 1 species
AUUGAACGCUGGCGGCAGGCCUAACACAUGCAAGUCGAGCGGAUGAAGAGAGCUUGCUCUCUGAUUCAGCGGCGGACGGGUGAGUAAUGCCUAGGAAUCUGCCUGGUAGUGGGGGACAACGUUUCGAAAGGAACGCUAAUACCGCAUACGUCCUACGGGGGAAAGUGGGGGAUCUUCGGACCUUACGCUAUCAGAUGAGCCUAGGUACGAUUAGCUAGUUGGUGAGGUAAAGGCUCACCAAGGCGACGAUCGUUAACUGGUCUGAGAGGAUGAUCAGUCACACUGGAACUGAGACACGGUCCAGACUCCUACGGGAGGCAGCAGUGGGGAAUAUUGGACAAUGGGCGAAAGCCUGAUCCAGCCAUGCCGCGUGUGUGAAGAAGGUCUUCGGAUUGUAAAGCACUUUAAGUUGGGAGGAAGGGCAGUAAGUUAAUACCUUGCUGUUUUGACGUUACCGACAGAAUAAGCACCGGCUAACUUCGUGCCAGCCGCCGCUGUAAUAC